rnacentral:misc_RNA from 1 species
UGCCAUUUGACUAUGCCAGUAAAAAAACGGCGGAACUAUUUUUGCCGCUAUAAAGUGGGCGGGAAUCUGUCAAAGUCCCGAGCAAUUGCGAAUUUCAUAUUCGUUAUUGCGAACUAGUAGGUGAACAGUGUUCAGAGAUUUUGAAACAUUUCCGUACACCCGUGGCAGCAUCAAAUAUCUCGAAUCCCAAACGAAGGCGUGAAUUCGAAUGAUGCGGAAAUUAGAAAAAGGAAGCAUUUCAGAAUUAUAAGCAUAAUUGCUAAAAAUAUCGCGUCUAGGAAAAUUUUCCUCUGAAAGCCAGAUGGUUCAGCGCAAUUUUGACUGGCUUCAAUAACUUCGCUCCAAAGGCAUGCCGCAUCGUAUUCCAAACACUAUAUUUGAUACGUUCUGCAGUAGAGUAAAAUUAAGUUCUCUAUAUCUCACUGUGUAGAGGUGGGAGUGAUGCCAACAAGAAGUAUACGCUCAAAAAAUACGCUCAGGACGUGCCACGCAGUGUGUAGCAAACACUUCGUGAGAAUGGCAUGAGGGUGAAGUUUUAUUUCGUCAAAUUUACGUUGUGAAGAAAAAAAAGUUUAUCACUUUGACACUGUCAUUGAUACAUUCAUCAUUGUUGUUAACUAUGCGUUGGUAAUCGUGUGACUAAUACCGAAAUAAAUAGAUUACUAGAAUUGCGAUAAAAUUAAAACAAAAAUCAUGCACCGCGUGCUGAGUUUCCAAAUGGGAAGAGGUUUCGGUGAAUCGAGCGAAUUCGUAACGAAACGAAUGUGCUUUUCAUUCAUAUUUUUCUUCGGAUUCUUGGCACUACUCGGGGGUUUUCUGUUGGGCAGAUUUUCAGCCGAAAGGACAGAAAAAUUACGUGAACAACGUAAACAGAUUGAAUAUACGGAAAACAGGAUGGAAAGCGUUCGGCUGGAACGUACACUUCUGGAAGAAUUGCGAAAAGCUUCAUUUGACCAAUAUCACGUUACGAAAACGUUGGCAAAAGAUGCUAACGAGGAUCACAUAAACCACGAAAGUGUUGAGACAACCCUUUCGAAUUCCCACUUAUUCCCCAAUUCCAUGCCAGACAAAACUGUCGUUGCUUCUCUACCUGGAUUACGCGAAUCCGACAGAUGGGUCGUACUUUCGGUUAGUGGAGACGGUGUCAUCUUGGCCCUUGAGCUUGCUAGAGUGUUUGAAAAGCUGAGGGAUGCACAUAACUGGAAUCCACGGAGAAGGAUAGUUUUCUGCUUCUCCAACGAGUUUGGUCGGGAUUCGUGUCGCGACAAUCUACCGAAAUACGCACACCAUAAGAUAGUGGCCUAUUUAACAGUCCAUGGAAACGCCAUACAGAAGAACGGGUGCUUCGUAGCCCCAGGAUCAGACGUGGUGAGAUCGUCGGUAUUUGAAGCAGUUCAGACAGUUCAGGAUACAAUUUCUGCCCAAGACCUAACAAGUACUCGCAGAAUUUUCAACUGGUGCCAAAAGGAACCUGAUGACGGGCUAUUUUUGCCUAGACUUCCCUCAGACAUACCGCAUGCCUCACUCGCAUUAUUAGCAGCAACCAACAUUAGUGUCAAUGCUGACUAUGAAACAGCGACCCCGUACCGUAGAUCUUUUUUUCAAAUUAUCGGUCUUACUAUCUGGAGACUUUCGAACAGUCCGAUUCUUCACUGGGAUCCGAAAUACUUCGAACGCGACGUCAAAGCAGCCUUGAAGAUGAUCGAUUCUCCAGGAUUCGUCCAAGUUAAAGAGAAGAUUACAUCGACUGUGCAUAAAAUAGUCAAUAGAGCUUACAACUUGAAUCGAAACAUAAACGAGAUCGAAGAGCCUGACUCACUGUCAGCACGAGUGAUGAACGACUUGGUAAUGGAUUUGGAUCGAGUACUGCUGUGCCCAGACGGUAAUUUAGCGUCAAAAACUGACCCAGCUUUAAUCAAACGUGGGCUGGUGGAUUCGGAAAUGCUCGAUGAUAUGCUCAAUUGCUAUGAGAAUGUAGUUCAAGUUUUGCAGGAAGGGUGACUUCCAAGUUUUCUGAAUGCCCAGUGAAUGAAUAACAAGCCACCGUCGACAGUAAUGUGUUUUAAAAAGGGUACCGUCGAUGGCUUGGCAAUUUGGAUUGAAAACAGAGUAGGCGCUAAUCUCGCCCUUUUUCUUUGGACCAGACCGAGUGUUCUUCCAUAUUAGUACUAAGGAUGACACGAUAAAGUAUACGGCGCCGAAUUCGAACUGAAGUGCUAUCAUGUAAAGCGUUGCCCACAGAAGGAAGUACAGCAGGUAAGUGACUUGCGUCAAUACCGGAUUCUCUGCCGGCGUCAAAUCCAGACUCUCUUCAGACUGACUGCUCUCUAUGUCUUCCCUAUCCUGGAACCUUACAAUUCUUAAUGUUGCAGUACUGUUUACGCUGUUCUGUAUUUCAAGUGUUAUAACAAUAGGCGUUUAUAAUUUAUGAUAAUGAAAUAGUCUUUUCCUUCAGUUUUCCGAGCAUAGUACAUAGAAAUAUAAGUGAAAGCGUGUAAAUUCCUACUACACAGAAGACUGAAGAGAAGUAGCCGUCAAGUUGUAACCAUGAUUAAGUGUAAAUGUUUGCAGUUAUCUCGAAAAGUGUUGUUUGUUGUUACAAAACCGAGCAAACAAAUAACAAUGUGAUGAAAAUACAGAUUGGGUGAGUGAGGAAAUGAGAAGGCGAGA